UUCUGGGCUGCGAACGUAACUCAGUGGUAGGCUGCUUGCCAAGCACGUGCAAGGCCCUGAAUUCAAGCCCCAGUAGCUUAAGAAAAGAAAG
rnacentral:miRNA from 1 species